AUUGAACGCUGGCGGCAGGCCUAACACAUGCAAGUCGAACGGUAACAGGAAACAGCUUGCUGUUUCGCUGACGAGUGGCGGACGGGUGAGUAAUGUCUGGGAAACUGCCUGAUGGAGGGGGAUAACUACUGGAAACGGUAGCUAAUACCGCAUAACGUCGCAAGACCAAAGAGGGGGACCUUCGGGCCUCUUGCCAUCGGAUGUGCCCAGAUGGGAUUAGCUAGUAGGUGGGGUAACGGCUCACCUAGGCGACGAUCCCUAGCUGGUCUGAGAGGAUGACCAGCCACACUGGACUGAGACACGGUCCAG
rnacentral:rRNA from 1 species